rnacentral:lncRNA from 1 species
CUCUUUUCUAAGAAGACAUUCAUCUCUUUUCUGAGAAGGCAUUUCUGCAAAGGCAUUCAUCAUCAUCAGCCUCCUGAGUAGCUGGAAUUACAGAACUUCCAAGAUGGUGGUGAGCCGCUUCCAAGAUGGUGGCAGGCCGCUUCCAAGAUGGUGGCAGGCCGCUUCCAAGAUGGUGGCAAGUCUCGUGUUCUCUGACCUGGGGUUCUUGGCCUCAUGGAGUCCAAGGAAUGGAAUCUUGGGUCAUGCGCUACAGCUGUCAUACUGAAAUCAUGAAGCUAAAGGCUACAGAGGGCUACUAGAAGCCUGAGUUUCUGAAGACUGUGUGGAACCAUCAAAGCAGCCCUGAAUAUUUCCCUUGAGACUUUUCCAUUAUAGGAAGGGCAAAUAAAUAGAUGAUGUAUGAUGU